ACGGGAGGCAGCAGUGAGGAAUAUUGGUCAAUGGGCGGAAGCCUGAACCAGCCAAGUCGCGUGAAGGAUGAAGGUAUUAUGUAUUGUAAACUUCUUUAGACGUAGAGAAAUAAGGCGCUCGUGAGCGCUGAUGCUAGUAUACGUAGAAUAAGGAUCGGCUAACUCCGUGCCAGCAGCCGCGGUAAUACGGAGGGUCCGAGCGUUAUCCGGAUUUAUUGGGUUUAAAGGGUGCGCAGGCGGCGUGUUAAGUCAGCGGUAAAGUAGUGAGGCCAAACCUCGACCCGCCGUUGAUACUGGUACGCUUGAUUUCGGUAGAGGUUAGCGGAAUUCGCCGUGUAGCGGUGAAAUGCAUAGAUAUGGCGAAGAACUCCGAUUGCGUAGGCAGCUGACCAAGCCGAUAAUGACGCUCAUGCACGAAAGUGCGGGGAUCGAACAGGAUUAGAUACCCUGGUA
rnacentral:rRNA from 1 species